AUGCAAAUUAAGAAACCUAUUAAGGUAUCUGCUCCAAAAUAUGUAGAAUAUCUGAUGGACUGGGUUGAAACACAACUUGAUGAUGAAUCCAUAUUCCCUCAGAAGCUUGACCCGUGGGAUCAUGAUGCAUAUUCUCCAUUUCCUACCAACUUUAAGGAUGCCGUGAAGACAAUAUUCAAGCGGAUGUUCCAUGUAUAUGCUCAUAUUUAUCAUUCUCACUUUCAGAAAAUUGUGAGCCUUAAAGAAUAG